AGUGAACGCUGGCGGUAGGCCUAACACAUGCAAGUCGAACGGCAGCACAGUAAGAGCUUGCUCUUACGGGUGGCGAGUGGCGGACGGGUGAGGAAUACAUCGGAAUCUACUUUUUCGUGGGGGAUAACGUAGGGAAACUUGCGCUAAUACCGCAUACGACCUACGGGUGAAAGCAGGGGAUCUUCGGACCUUGCGCGAUUGAAUGAGCCGAUGUCGGAUUAGCUAGUUGGCGGGGUAAAGGCCCACCAAGGCGACGAUCCGUAGCUGGUCUGAGAGGAUGAUCAGCCACACUGGAACUGAGACACGGUCCAGACUCCUACGGGAGGCAGCAGUGGGGAAUAUUGGACAAUGGGCGCAAGCCUGAUCCAGCCAUACCGCGUGGGUGAAGAAGGCCUUCGGGUUGUAAAGCCCUUUUGUUGGGAAAGAAAGGCAGCAGGUUAAUACCCCGCUGUUCUGACGGUACCCAAAGAAUAAGCACCGGCUAACUUCG
rnacentral:rRNA from 1 species